CACACAGAGCUGCAGUGCACGCAGUGCAUGGCCCUCUUGCAACACACAGAGCUGCAGUGCACGCAGUGCAUGGCCCUCUUGCAACACAGAGAGCUGCAGCACACACAGUGCAUGGCCCUCUUGCAACACACAAGUGCAACACACACAGUGCAUGGCCCUCUUGCAACACAGAGAGAUGCAACACAUGCAGUGCACAGCCCUCUUGCAACACACAGAGCUGCAGUGCAUGGCCUUCUUGCAACACACAGAGCCGCAGCGCACACAUUUCAUGGCCCUCUUGCAACACACAGAACUGCAGCACACGCCGCGCAUUGCCCUCUUGCAACACAGUGCAUGCAGGGCGCGCAGUGCAUGCAGUGCUGGGCCCCGUUGCUGCAGCCCUGCAGCUGAGGCGCUGCUCUCUCCCUGCAGAAGCUGCUGGAGGAAUGCGAGCAGCAGAAGGAGAAGGUGGAGGAGUGUCAGCGCUACGCCAAGCAGUACAUCGACG
rnacentral:lncRNA from 1 species